rnacentral:rRNA from 1 species
GAUGAACGCUGGCGGCGUGCCUAAUACAUGCAAGUCGAGCGAACAGACGAGGAGCUUGCUCCUCUGACGUUAGCGGCGGACGGGUGAGUAACACGUGGAUAACCUACCUAUAAGACUGGGAUAACUUCGGGACACCGGAGCUAAUCCCGGAUAAUAUAUUGAACCGCAUGGUUCAAUAGUGAAAGACGGUUUUGCUGUCACUUAUCGAUGGAUCCGCGCCGCAUUAGCUAGUUGGUAAGGUAACGGCUUACCAAGGCAACGAUGCGUAGACGACCUGAGAGAGUGAUCGGCCACACGGGAACUGAGACACGGUCCAGACGCCUAAGGGAGGCAGCAGUAGGGAAUCUUCCGCAAUGGGCGAAAGCCUGACGGAGCAACGCCGCGUGAGUGAUGAAGGUCUUCGGAUCGGAAAACUCUGUUAUUAGGGAAGAACAAAUGUGGAAGUAACUAUGCACGUCUUGACGGUACCUAAUCAGAAAGCCACGGCUAACUACGUG